CGAACGCUGGCGGCGUGCUUACCACAUGCAAGUCGCACGGCAAGGCCCUGCUUUUGUGGGGUGCUCGAGUGGCGAACGGGUGAGUAACACGUGAGUAACCUGCCCUUGACUUUGGGAUAACUUCAGGAAACUGGGGCUAAUACCGGAUAGGAGCUCCUGCUGCAUGGUGGGGGUUGGAAAGUUUCGGCGGUUGCGGAUGGACUCGCGGCUUAUCAGCUUGUUGGUGGGGUAGUGGCUUACCAAGGCUUUGACGGGUAGCCGGCCUGAGAGGGUGACCGGCCACAUUGGGACUGAGAUACGGCCCAGACUCCUACGGGAGGCAGCAGUGGGGAAUAUUGCACAAUGGGCGGAAGCCUGAUGCAGCAACGCCGCGUGCGGGAUGACGGCCUUCGGGUUGUAAACCGCUUUCGCCUGUGACGAAGCGUGAGUGACGGUAAUGGGUAAAGAAGCACCGGCUAACUACGUG
rnacentral:rRNA from 1 species